rnacentral:rRNA from 1 species
GACGAACGCUGGCGGCGUGCCUAAUACAUGCAAGUAGAACGCUGAAGGAGGAGCUUGCUCUUCUGGAUGAGUUGCGAACGGGUGAGUAACGCGUAGGUAACCUGCCUGGUAGCGGGGGAUAACUAUUGGAAACGAUAGCUAAUACCGCAUAAGAGUAGAUGUUGCAUGACAUUUACUUAAAAGGUGCAAUUGCAUCACUACCAGAUGGACCUGCGUUGUAUUAGCUAGUUGGUGGGGUAACGGCUUACCAAGGCGACGAUACAUAGCCGACCUGAGAGGGUGAUCGGCCACACUGGGACUGAGACACGGCCCAGACUCCUACGGGAGGCAGCAGUAGGGAAUCUUCGGCAAUAGACGGAAGUCUGACCGAGCAACGCCGCGUGAGUGAAGAAGGUUUUCGGAUCGUAAAGCUCUGUUGUAAGAGAAGAACGAGUGUGAGAGUGGAAAGUUCACACUGUGACGGUAUCUGACCAGAAAGGGACGGCUAACUACGUG